CAGCAGUGGGGAAUAUUGCACAAUGGGCGCAAGCCUGAUGCAGCGACGCCGCGUGAGGGAUGACGGCCUUCGGGUUGUAAACCUCUUUCACCAGGGACGAAGCGUGAGUGACGGUACCUGGAGAAGAAGCACCGGCCAACUACGUGCCAGCAGCCGCGGUAAUACGUAGGGUGCGAGCGUUGUCCGGAAUUACUGGGCGUAAAGAGCUCGUAGGCGGUUUGUCGCGUCGUCUGUGAAAUUCUGCAACUCAAUWGCAGGCGUGCAGGCGAUACGGGCAGACUUGAGUACUACAGGGGAGACUGGAAUUCCUGGUGUAGCGGUGAAAUGCGCAGAUAUCAGGAGGAACACCGGUGGCGAAGGCGGGUCUCUGGGUAGUAACUGACGCUGAGGAGCGAAAGCGUGGGUAGCGAACAGGAUUAGAUACCCUGGUAGUCCACGCCGUAAACGGUGGGUACUAGGUGUGGGUUCCUUUUCACGGGAUCCGUGCCGUAGCUAACGCAUUAAGUACCCCGCCUGGGGAGUACGGCCGCAAGGCUAAAACUCAAAGGAAUUGACGGGGGCCCGCACAAGCGGCGGAGCAUGUGGAUUAAUUCGAUGCAACGCGAAGAACCUUACCUGGGUUUGACAUACACCAGA
rnacentral:rRNA from 1 species